rnacentral:tRNA from 1 species
GUCCAGGGGCAGAAAUCGAACCCACAACCUUCCGCUUACCGGGAAGAUGCCAUGUCCACUAGGCUACCCUGGA